rnacentral:rRNA from 1 species
UUCCGGUUGAUCCUGCCGGAGGCCAUUGCUAUCGGAGUCCGAUUUAGCCAUGCUAGUUGCACGAGUUCAGACUCGUGGCAGAUAGCUCAGUAACACGUGGCCAAGCUACCCUAUGGAGAGGGAUAACCCCGGGAAACUGGGGCUAAUACCUCAUAACGCUCCCUCACUGGAAUGUGGGGAGCCGGAAAUGCUCCGGCGCCAUAGGAUGCGGCUGCGGUCGAUUAGGUAGACGGUGGGGUAACGGCCCACCGUGCCGAUAAUCGGUACGGGUCGUGAGAGCGAGAGCCCGGAGAUGGAUUCUGAGACAAGAAUCCAGGCCCUACGGGGCGCAGCAGGCGCGAAAACUUUACACUGCACGAAAGUGCGAUAAGGGGACUCCGAGUGUGUGGGCAUAGAGCCCACACUUUUGUGUACCGUAAGGUGGUACACGAAUAAGAGCUGGGCAGGACCGGUGCCAGCCGCCGCGGUAAUACCGGCAGCUCAAGUGAUGGCCGAUCUUAUUGGGCCUAAAGCGUCCGUAGCCGGCCGGGCAAGUCCGUUGGGAAAUCUGUUCGCUUAACGAACAGGCGUCCAGCGGAAACUGCUCGGCUUGGGACCGAAAGACCUGAGGGGUACGUCCGGGGUAGGAGUGAAAUCCUGUAAUCCUGGACGGACCGCCGAUGGGGAAACCACCUCAGGAGGACGGAUCCGACGGUGAGGGACGAAAGCUAGGGUCUCGAACCGGAUUAGAUACCCGGGUAGUCCUAGCUGUAAACGAUGUCUGCUAGGUGUGGCACAGGCUACGAGCCUGUGCUGUGCCGUAGGGAAGCCGAGAAGCAGACCGCCUGGGAAGUACGUCCGCAAGGAUGAAACUUAAAGGAAUUGGCGGGGGAGCACUACAACCGGAGGAGCCUGCGGUUUAAUUGGAUUCAACGCCGGG